CCUACGGGAGGCUGCAGUGGGGAAUAUUGGACAAUGGGGGGAACCCUGAUCCAGCCAUGCCGCGUGUGUGAAGAAGGCCCUCGGGUUGUAAAGCACUUUCAGUGAGGAAGAACGCCUGGUGGUUAAUACCCAUCAGGAAAGACAUCACUCACAGAAGAAGCACCGGCUAACUCCGUGCCAGCAGCCGCGGUAAUACGGAGGGUGCGAGCGUUAAUCGGAAUUACUGGGCGUAAAGCGCGCGUAGGUGGCUUGAUAAGCCGGUUGUGAAAGCCCCGGACUCAACCUGGGAACGGCAUCCGGAACUGUCAAGCUAGAGUGCAGGAGAGGAAGGUAGAAUUCCCGGUGUAGCGGUGAAAUGCGUAGAGAUCGGGAGGAAUACCAGUGGCGAAGGCGGCCUUCUGGACUGACACUGACACUGAGGUGCGAAAGCGUGGGUAGCAAACAGGAUUAGAUACCCGAGUAGUC
rnacentral:rRNA from 1 species